rnacentral:lncRNA from 1 species
GUUAGAUAAGUCAUAAACAUCUAUUCUUGAAUUUCAUCCAAAUUCUUUCUUAAAAGAGGGACGAAAGAUACCAAAGGGACAGUCAAACUCAUAAAUCUAAAACAAACUGACAACGCCAUGGCUAAAAAUGAAAAAAAAGACAAACAGAAAAACAAUAGUACACAUGACACAACAUAGAAAACUAAAGAAUAAACAACACGAACCCCAC